GGUAGUGACAAAAAAUAACGAUACGGGGACUCAUUUGAGGCCCCGUAAUCGGAAAUGAGUACACUUUAAAUCCUUUAACAAGGUAUCCAUUGGAGGGCAAGUCUGGUGCCAGCAGCCGCGGUAAUUCCAGCUCCAAUAGCGUAUAUUAAAGUUGUUGCGGUUAAAAAGCUCGUAGUUGGUUCUGCGUGCCACGCUGUCGGUUCGCCGCCUGCCGGUGCUACUGGCAUGUCGUGGCAUGUCCUGUCGGUGGGUGUCCGGGGCCCCGUGCGGGCGGCAGGAGGCCGGGCUUGCCCGUGUUCUUUCUGCACGUCGGCGGGUUCACUCUGGCUCCCUAUUAUCCUACCUAGGUGCUCUUCACCGAGUGUCGAGGUAGGCCGACACGUUUACUUUGAACAAAUCAGAGUGCUUAAAGCAGGCUGAAAAAUUCUGCCUGAAUGAUGGCGCAUGGAAUAAUAAAACAGGACCUUGGUUCUAUUUUGUUGGUUCUUAGGAACACAAGGUAAUGAUCAAUAAGGACAGGCGGGGGCAUUCGUAUUGCGGGGUUAGAGGUGAAAUUCUUGGAUCCUCGCAAGACGACCGAGAGCGAAAGCAUUUGCCAAGUAUGUCUCGAUUGAUCAAGAACGAAAGUUAGAGGUUCGAAGGCGAUCAGAUACCGCCCUAGUUCUAACCAUAAACGAUGCCAGCCAGCGAUCCGCCGAUGUUCCUCCGAUGACUCGGCGGGGAGCUUCUCCCCGGGAAACCAAAGCUUUUGGGUUCCGGGGGAAGUAUGGUUGCAAAGCUGAAACUUAAAGGAAUUGACGGAAGGGCACCACCAGGAGUGGAGCCUGCGGCUUAAUUUGACUCAACACGGGAAACCUCACCAGGUCAGGACAUUGUAAGGAUUGACAGAUUGAUAGCUCUUUCUUGAUUCAGUGGGUAGUGGUGCAUGGCCGUUCUUAGUUGGUGGAUCGAUUUGUCUGGUUAAUUCCGAUAACGAACGAGACUCUAGCCUAUUAACUAGACGAUUCGAGAGCCCACGUCUCUCGCGAAGUUUACUCUUCUUAAGGGGACAGGCGGCUUAUAGUCGCACGAGAUUGAGCAAUAACAGGUCUGUGAUGCCCUUAGAUGUCCUGGGCCGCACGCGCGCUACAAUGAAAGAAUCAGCGUGUGUCUCCCAGCCCGAGAGGGCCGGGUAAUCCGCUGAACCUCUUUCGUGCUUGGGAUUGUAGCUUGCAAUUGUUCUUCAUGAACGAGGAAUUCCCAGUAAGCGCGAGUCAUAAGCUCGCGUUGAUUACGUCCCUGCCCUUUGUACACACCGCCCGUCGCUACUACCGAUUGAAUGAUUUAGUGAGGUCUUCGGACCGGCGGGAAAUCCCUAUCGCUUCUGCGGUAUCGACGAACGCUGGGAAGAUGACCAAACUUGCAUCAUUUAGAGGAAGUAAAAGUCCGUAACAA
rnacentral:rRNA from 1 species